AGCUUUGCGCAGUGGCAGUAUAGUAGCCAAUGAGGUUUAUCUGAGGCGUGAUUAUUGCUAAUUGAAAACUUUUCCCAGUACCCCGCCAUGACAACUUGAAAAGCACAGGAUU
rnacentral:snRNA from 1 species